CCUCUGCCUCCUCCCUUUGCCCUGACCACCUCCGACGCCGCGCUCCACCCCCGACCACCUCUGCCGCCACCCUCCACCCCCGGCCACCUCCGGAACAACAGCCCCGACCUCUCCCCCCACCCCUGCAACCCCACCCGCCGCCGCCCCCUGCAACUCAGACCACCGCCGCCCCCGUUAACCCCUCGUGACGCCGCCCCCAUCAACCUCGCCCGCCGCCACCUCGGCAACCCCUCAUGCCGCCGCCCCCUAUACCUGAAGCCAGAUGCGGCUGCGGCCAUCGUCAGGCAGGGAGACGGCAACUGCCACUCCGGCCUUCUCCCACGCAGCGGCUGCAGCACAUAGCUGCCCCCUUCAUGAAAUUGACAUGCAUCCCUGCCUCCUCCCUGGAUCCUUGCUGCAGCUUUCGGCCACCUUCAAGUUCUGACGGCCGUUCGAGCUCGCCGGCGUGGAGUACAUGAGUCACCGAGCAUUGAAUUUUUGUUGUUGUUUGAAAACUGAUUAUGAUGCUGGCAUGCCUCUUCAUUUUUCCCUGCUCAAUACAUUCCUGACGCCCUGGCCGCUGCUUCCCCUAGGGCCUCUGUGUCGCUGCCAAGACGUAUCUGUGCGCCACCGUGACUCGCCCCGCUGCGCACCAAGCUCUUCUUCAUCACUACCCCCUCCAUCUUCAGUUUGGUUCUGUAUCUGCAGCUCAACUUCCUUCUAAAACUUGUUUGUUCCUUCUGGAACUUGUUUAGACCGUAUCUUACAGCAUGCUGCACUUCCUAACGUUCAUGUGACUGCUACUAGAACACUACUCUAGUUUUGUUCGCAUCUUCUUAGCAUAAUAAUUAGUAUGGUAGUUCAAGUUCUCUGGAAUUUGUUUCUUCUAUUUUUAGUAUAGAUUCUUCCUUGUGUGUAGUUCAAGUUCUUUGGGAUUUUUGUUUUGAAGACAUGGGAGAAUAAUCCUGAGUGGAAAGGUCAUAUGAAUUUGGGGCAUUUAUCUGAGUGGGGAGCACAAAAAAACUUCUGGCUGACCCAGGGUCGUGGAUGCUGAAAACAUUUACAGACUUGGGUGACGGAAAAAGGAGGGGACAUGCUUGUCUGUUUGAAUCUACAGUGCAGCAGAAAGUCGCAGCUCCUCUUUGAAACCAACUCAAGAACAUCGAUCUGAAAGCAUACGAUGCUUUAUGCUACUACCACCGACCGAUGCCCACUGCACAACGCGCUGAUGAACCCCUACACGUCAAAAUAUUGUGUUCGAGAAGGUCAAGUGUGUUAAGUGUAUCUCAGCAAGUUCAAAUAAUUUAAAUAUGCAAAAUGUUGUGUUCUAGAAGGUCAAGUGUGUUAUGUGCAUCACCUUGCCCCCAUUGAAUCUUCUGCAUUUCUUGUGUAUUCUUCAGAAGUUCAAGUCAUCGUAAGUUUCCUCGAUUGAGCUACUCUUAUGAAAAAGUUCAACACAGAGGCAGGUCUAUGUGUGCAGACCAGGGAGGAUGACGAACCAUGCCUGGUGCCGCUACCCUCGUGAACAGAUGGAGGAAGAAGGUCACCACAGAGGCAGGGAGAAGGUCACAUAAGGUGCAGGAAGAUUGUUAGAGUUCAGGAACAAGGGGUGUGUGAUCUUUGUGCUGUUUUUGGGGUGCAAAUUAACAUGGGUAUGCAAUCUCACAUCCUGUGUAUUCUUGAGAUGGCCUCCCUUAGCCUCAAAACCAUAUUGCAUAUAAAUAUGAUAGUCCCAAUGCUAUGGUCACGUGUAAAGAAAAUUAGAUAUGCGACUACAGAUUUUUUUCUUCAGGUGGUCUU